rnacentral:rRNA from 1 species
CCUACGGGCGGCAGCAGUGGGGAAUAUUGCACAAUGGGCGCAAGCCUGAUGCAGCCAUGCCGCGUGUGUGAAGAAGGCCUUCGGGUUGUAAAGCACUUUCAGCGGGGAGGAAGGCGUUAAGGUUAAUAACCUUGGCGAUUGACGUUACCCGCAGAAGAAGCACCGGCUAACUCCGUGCCAGCAGCCGCGGUAAUACGGAGGGUGCAAGCGUUAAUCGGAAUUACUGGGCGUAAAGCGCACGCAGGCGGUCUGUCAAGUCGGAUGUGAAAUCCCCGGGCUCAACCUGGGAACUGCAUUCGAAACUGGCAGGCUAGAGUCUUGUAGAGGGGGGUAGAAUUCCAGGUGUAGCGGUGAAAUGCGUAGAGAUCUGGAGGAGUACCGGUGGCGAAGGCGGCCCCCUGGACAAAGACUGAUGCUCAGGUGCGAAAGCGUGGGGAGCAAACAGGAUUAGAUACCCGAGUAGUC